UUUGCCACUGGAGUUACAGCUUUUCUUGGAC
rnacentral:piRNA from 1 species